CAGAUUAAAAUUUUAACAAAUAAAAAGCAACGUGCGUUAACGGAGCAAGGGCGCUCCUGCAAAUUGGAAGAAUAAGGUUUCUUAAAGCAGCUUUUUGGUUUUUGAGGGGGUGCUCUACUCCCAGGGAGAUAACGUGAUUUGUUCUAACAGGAAAAAAAUGGCACAUAUUCAGCAAAGUCUUUCCACUUCAAUCUCUUCAUCAACUUCUACUUUAAUGGAUCAGCACAAACUCCGUCUCAGGUAUCAAAUUUCAUCCCCUAUGUUUUGUUUGAUUUCCUAACUCAGUUCCAGUUCUAUUUUUUUUGUUGGGAUAGUUUCAAUUCAUAUGAUUCUUAUUUGAAUCUUAUAACUGCUUUCGUUAUCGACAUUGCUGGUUCUCUUUUGCUGGUAAAUAUUCAAUAUUUAAGCAUUAGCGAAGCAGUAGAGAAGGAAUGUCCACUAUACCUUCAAGCAUUCUGACUCGCUUCAGCUUCAGCUAUUCAUUUUUCUUUAUUUCAUGGUAGAAAAUUAGGUUUUGUUAACGAUUUUUAUGUCUUACCUUUAUUUUCUUCCUCCAAAGACCUGGGGAGAAAGUGUCUUUCUUUUGUUGGUUUUCUACCUGGUGUGGGGUACCCACAUUGAGGGUCGCACCGCGUUAGGCCAUUAAAGGGGGAUGCACUCAUACCAAGAUGUUUUCCAUUCAUAGGGCUCUAACCCGAUACCCCUCGUUAAGGGCGGAACGAUCCUAUCCAUUGCACCACAACCUUUGGUGGUGCGGUUAAAUAUCUACUUCUACUGAUUCUUGAAUUUGACUCUUUAUUUUUCUAUAAUUUGAUGGUAGAGCAUUUUGUUUUGGUUUUUAUUAAUGUUUUCAUUUUGAGUUACACGAAGCUGAGGAUUCUCUUUUUCCUUUAUUGAAUGAAGUAUCCCCCAUUUAUAGCAUUUACAGACUGGGAUGAGUUUACUAGUUAGCGAACUGCCUUAGAAUCUCAUCUGUAUUGGUUGUAUAUUCAUGACUAAAUGCGUUGAUGAGAAUGUAGUAAAAAACUACUGUUGCUUCCAUUAAUACUUUGGUAAUCCUGAGUAUUUUCAUUCCUGGUGUAUGCAAUGUUUGCUAAUAUAAAGUGUGGAUUAAUUGUUGGAGGAGCCAGAAUGUGUCACUGCCAGGCAAAACCAAUGGUAUUGUCAGAUGUGUUGCAACACCCUCUACGG
rnacentral:lncRNA from 1 species